rfam:Chryseobacterium chaponense strain DSM 23145 genome assembly, contig: Ga0111693_103
GUCUCGCAAUAGGGAUAGAAGUGGAAAUCCUUUUUUGAAAAAAAAGAUUGGAACGUAUAGCCCGACCCGAG